rnacentral:tRNA from 1 species
GCGCUCGUGGCGCAAUUGGAUAGCGCAUUUGAUUCCGAUUCAAAAGGCUGCAGGUUCAAGUCCUGUCGAGCGCGCCA